AUUGAACGCUGGCGGCAUGCCUGACACAUGCAAGUCGAACGGCAGCACGGGUGCUUGCACCUGGUGGCGAGUGGCGAACGGGUGAGUAAUACAUCGGAACAUGUCCUGUAGUGGGGGAUAGCCCGGCGAAAGCCGGAUUAAUACCGCAUACGAUCUACGGAUGAAAGCGGGGGACCUUCGGGCCUCGCGCUAUAGGGGUGGCCGAUGGCUGAUUAGCUAGUUGGGGGGGUAAAGGCCGACCAAGGCGACGAUCAGUAGCUGGUCGGAGAGGACGACCAGCCCCACUGGGACUGGGACACGGCCCAGACUCCUACGGGAGGCAGCAGUGGGGAAUUUUGGACAAUGGGCGAAAGCCUGAUCCAGCAAUGCCGCGUGUGUGAAGAAGGCCUUCGGGUUGUACAACACUUUUGUCCGGAAAGAAAUCCUUGGCUCUAAUACAGUCGGGGGAUGACGGUACCGGAAGAAUAAGCACCGGCUAACUACGUG
rnacentral:rRNA from 1 species